rnacentral:rRNA from 1 species
GACGAAGGUGGCAAGCGUUAUUCGGAUUUACUGGGCAUAAAGCGCGCGUAGGCGGCUUGGUAAGUCGGGGGUGAAAGCCCGGAGCUCAACUCCGGAAUUGCCUUCGAUACUGCCGAGCUUGAGUGCAGGAGGGGUGACUGGAACUCAAGGUGUAGCGGUGAAAUGCGUAGAUAUCUUGAGGAACACCGGAGGCGAAGGCGAGUCACUGGACUGCCACUGACGCUGAGGCGCGAAAGCUAGGGGAGCAAACAGG